rnacentral:rRNA from 1 species
UACGUAGGGUGCAAGCGUUGUCCGGAAUUAUUGGGCGUAAAGAGCGUGUAGGCGGUUAUACAGGUCCGCUGUGAAAACUGGAGGCUUAACCUCCAGACGUCGGUGGAAACCGUAUGACUAGAGUCCGGAAGAGGAGAGUGGAAUUCCCGGUGUAGCGGUGAAAUGCGCAGAUAUCGGGAAGAACACCCGUGGCGAAGGCGGCUCUCUGGGACGGUACUGACGCUGAGACGCGAAAGCGUGGGGAGCGAACAGG